GACGAACGCUGGCGGCGUGCUUAACACAUGCAAGUCGAACGGAAAGGCCCUGCUUUUGUGGGGUGCUCGAGUGGCGAACGGGUGAGUAACACGUGAGUAACCUGCCCUUGACUUUGGGAUAACUUCAGGAAACUGGGGCUAAUACCGGAUAGGAGCUCCUGCUGCAUGGUGGGGGUUGGAAAGUUUCGGCGGUUGGGGAUGGACUCGCGGCUUAUCAGCUUGUUGGUGGGGUAGUGGCUUACCAAGGCUUUGACGGGUAGCCGGCCUGAGCGGGUGACCGGCCACAUUGGGACUGAGAUGCGGCCCAGACUCCUACGGGAGGCAGCAGUGGGGAAUAUUGCACAAUGGGCGGGAGCCUGAUGCAGCAACGCCGCGUGCGGGAUGACGGCCUUCGGGUUGUAAACCGCUUUCGCCUGUGACGAAGCGUGAGUGACGGUAAUGGGUAAAGAAGCACCGGCUAACUACGUG
rnacentral:rRNA from 1 species